rnacentral:lncRNA from 1 species
AGGACGUGCGGACUGGCAGUCCCCACAUUGAAAGGACAAACACCACCUACAGAACUAAGCCAACAUCAGCAAGAACGUAACGAAAUUGGCAUCGAAUUUCAAUGUGAAGGUGGCGACCUACACGCCGGAAGGAUGAAUUUCGACUAUACCAGCCAGAAUAUAGCACGAGCUUAAAGUACGGCAACUUGGUAUGAACUUUGAACUCUUAUUCACUAAAGAAGUGCUACCCCCUCCGCCUGCUAAACGUGGGCUAGGAGAUGACGGACAGAGGAUCCAUUCUACCACGCUCCAGUUCACCACUAGACAGUCUUCAGAGGACCAGAGAUCCAUGCUGGACCACCCGACCUCCCAUCUAUGAACAAUCUACCGAAGCGCAGUUCAGAGACCUGAGCCCUAGGACCAUGCCUCAGGAAUACCUGGCCUGAUGACUCCUUGCUGUCCCCAGUCCACCUGGCCGUGCUGCUGCUCCAGUUUCAACUGUUCUGCCUGCAGCUAUGUAACCCUGACCUGUUCACCGGAUGUGCUACCUGUCCCAGACCUGCUGUUUUCAACUCUCUAGAGACAGCAGGAGCGGUAGAGAUACUCUGAAUGAUUGUCUAUGAGAAGCCAACUGACAUUUACUCUUGAGGUGCUGACCUGUUGCACCCUCGACAACCACUGUGUUUAUUAUUAUUUGACCCUGCUGGUCAUCUAUGAACAUUUGAACAUCUUGGCCAUGUUCUGUUAUAAUUUCCACCCGGCACAGCCAGAAGAGGACUGGCCACCCCUCAUAGUCUGGUUCCUCUCUAGAUUUCUACCUAGGUUCUGGCCUUUCUAGGGGGUUUUUCCUAGCCACCGUGCUUCUACACCUGCAUUGCUUGCUGUUUGGAGUUUUAGGCUGGGUUUCUGUACAGCACUUUGAGAUAUCAGCUGAUGUAAGUAGGGCUUUAUAAAUAAAUUUGAUUUGACCUAAAGGACAUGGCGAAAUGCUUAACCAUUUAAAGUUUUAGACUUGCUGCCACUCCAAUCUGUCCGCUAAACUUUUUUAAAUGAUGGUGCACUAUAACCACAUACGAGUUAAAUUGGUACAGCAUUCUCACUCACAGGUGCAAAAAAAUAUAGCCUCUAAAUAUGUUAAUGAGCCAGAACCAACAAUACCAUGCACCCACUAGUGGUCAAAAUGACGUCCCAUGGAAACAAUUGUCUCUCAACAAUUAAUUGUGGAUAAUACCUGAAUGUAGCUCUUGGACCUGCACUAUUAUUCCUCCAUUACCUAAAUGUCAGCCAUUAUACAGCUAUUUGAGUCACACAUACUAUACAAAUAGCAUUGUAAUCAUUACAUUUUCACUGGCUUAUGUGGUAUUCUCAUUA